rnacentral:tRNA from 1 species
GUGGGUGUAGCUCAAUCGGUAGAGCGUCCCCCUGUGGAGGGGAAGGUCGGGGGUUCGAACCCCCUCACCCACC